GUGCUUGCUUUGGCAGCAUAUAUACUAAAAUUGGAACAAUACAGAAAGAUCAGCAUUGGCCCCUCUGCAAAGAAUGACAUGAAUAUUUGUGAGGUGUUCCAUAUUUUA
ensembl:snRNA U6 U6 spliceosomal RNA